CUCCUCAUGUGGCUCAGGACUGCAGCGUGCUGCAGGAGGCCUACCUGUUGUUCCACAGCUUCCUGGCCUGGCCUGAGCCGUGCAGCUCCGCCAGUAAACGGCUGCUGAUGAUCAUCCAGCAGGAGCUCAGAGCUCCAGGUAUUUCAUUUCAGAGGCUGGUUCGGACAGAGCAGGGUGUUUCCCCUAAUAUUCACUGCUCUAAGACCAUGACGGUGCUGUUAGUGAGCUCAGACGAGGACGUCCCUCCGGAGGUCCAGUCUGUGUCGGAGCAGCUGAGCAGCACCCAGCACUCCAGCA